GACGAACGCUGGCGGCGUGCUUAACACAUGCAAGUCGAACGGAAAGGCCCUGCUUUUGUGGGGUGCUCGAGUGGCGAACGGGUGAGUAACACGUGAGUAGCCUGCCCUUGACUUUGGGAUAACUUCAGGAAACUGGGGCUAAUACCGGAUAGGAGCUCCUGCUGCAUGGUGGGGGUUGGAAAGUUUCGGCGGUUGGGGAUGGACUCGCGGCUUAUCAGCUUAUUGGUGGGGUAGUGGCUUACCAAGGCUUUGACGGGUAGCCGGCCUGAGAGGGUGACCGGCCACAUUGGGACUGAGAUACGGCCCAGACUCCUACGGGAGGCAGCAGUGGGGAAUAUUGCACAAUGGGCGGAAGCCUGAUGCAGCAACGCCGCGUGCGGGAUGACGGCCUUCGGGUUGUAAACCGCUUUCGCCUGUGACGAAGCGUGAGUGACGGUAAUGGGUAAAGAAGCACCGGCUAACUACGUG
rnacentral:rRNA from 1 species